CACGUAGGGGGCGAGCGUUGUCCGGAUUUAUUGGGCGUAAAGAGCUCGUAGGCGGCUCAGUAAGUCAGGUGUGAAAACUCCAGGCUCAACCUGGAGACGCCACCUGAUACUGCUGUGGCUAGAGUCCGGUAGGGGAGCAUGGAAUUCCUGGUGUAGCGGUGAAAUGCGCAGAUAUCAGGAGGAACACCAGUGGCGAAGGCGGUGCUCUGGGCCGGAACUGACGCUGAGGAGCGAAAGCGUGGGGAGCAAACUGG
rnacentral:rRNA from 1 species